UACGGGGGGGGCAAGCGUUGUUCGGAAUUACUGGGCGUAAAGGGCUCGUAGGCGGCCAACUAAGUCAGACGUGAAAUCCCUCGGCUUAACCGGGGAACUGCGUCUGAUACUGGAUGGCUUGAAUCCGGGAGAGGGAUGCGGAAUUCCAGGUGUAGCGGUGAAAUGCGUAGAUAUCUGGAGGAACACCGGUGGCGAAGGCGGCAUCCUGGACCGGCAUUGACGCUGAGGCACGAAAGCGUGGGGAGCAAACAGGG
rnacentral:rRNA from 1 species